CGGAAAGUUAGUCUAAUUAAGACA
rnacentral:tRNA from 2 species